GACGAACGCUGGCGGCGUGCUUAACACAUGCAAGUCGAACGGAAAGGCCCUGCUUUUGUGGGGUGCUCGAGUGGCGAACGGGUGAGUAACACGUGAGUAACCUGCCCUUGACUUUGGGAUAACUUCAGGAAACUGGGGCUAUUACCGGAUAGGAGCUCCUGCUGCAUGGUGGGGGUUGGAAAGUUUCGGCGGUUGGGGAUGGACUCGCGGCUUAUCAGCUUGUUGGUGGGGUAGUGGCUUACCAAGGCUUUGACGGGUAGCCGGCCUGAGAGGGUGACCGGCCACAUUGGGACUGAGAGACGGCCCAGACUCCUACGGGAGGCAGCAGUGGGGAAUAUGGCACAAUGGGCGGAAGCCUGAUGCAGCAACGCCGCGUGCGGGAUGACGGCCUUCGGGUUGUAAACCGCUUUCGCCUGUGACGAAGCGUGAGUGACGGUAAUGGGUAAAGAAGCACCGGCUAACUACGUG
rnacentral:rRNA from 1 species